AAAUAGAUACAGUGGGAGAGCGCGCGAGUGUACGAAGAGUCGUGGCCUUUCAACGGAAAAGCUCGCUCGACAAACAAGGUUCAACGCACGCAUGAUCACCAGCGGAAGCAGUUUUUCAAAACGUCAACGAAGCAGCCUGCGGGAUCCAACAUGACUGCAAUGCGUUGGGUGCGUGACUUCGGAAGCUGCCUGCUGAGCCUGGCGUGCGUGGCCUUGUCCAUAUACUGCGUUGCUCGUGUCUCGUCUUCUCAAGCUGAAGCAAAACCAGAGUCUCGUUGUCCUUCCCAAAUGAGGAAUGCCAGGAUUGUGGACUUGACGCAAAAUUUCACCAACGACACGAUAUACUGGC
rnacentral:lncRNA from 1 species